UAUUUACUUGAUACUUCUAUCUGUCAACUAUAGCUGCCGACGGAUACUUUCGUUUGAAGACAACUUUGUUCAAUUAAAAGUAAAAAAGAAGGGAAGAGGGUGUACAAUUUCGAAUCUCCUACCUUGUUUGAUUUGUGGAGUCGAUCAGGUGUGAGUAUGGUUUGGCGAUGAAUCGGUUUUAACAAUUAAAUUUUGUUUCGCGAUUAGUUACUCGAUGUUUCGGAUUUUUCGAACUUAAUUAACAAUUUUAUUAAACGGAAUUACAGUAUGUACUAGAUUGUUUCUUUGACGCAGACGGAUCGACUUGCGAAUGAACAAAAGAAUAAAUGAAUCACCGAAUCUCAAGUUAAUACCGAACCUUAAGUGCAAGACUCUUACAAUACUGUUUAAGUUAAACUCACUGUUUCCAACUAAGACUGACUUCUGACUGCUCUCAAUUAAAACUGAACUCUAACUAUUUUCAACACUACUUUCAAUUAAAUUCUGAACUUGGUAAAACCAGCUCUGACCUCAAUUAAAAACUGCACUCCAACAACUACUCUAUUGAGUACUGAAUCUCUAUUUAUAUUCUUCCUAAUUGUCACGUGACCGAUUAUUUCUUUUGUAAUUGUACCAUUACUACGUGACAAUUUAUGAAUUUCGUAACUACCUAUUUCCGCUGGGGUUCUUGUUUUCUUGAUUAUCUCACCCUUUGCUUGGUGUUAAUGACAUACAAGGUGCUUGAAAGAAUGUACAUGUUACAGGUGGUCGUAUUUUGCUGAUGCUGCGUCUGCGUUCUUUCCAUGACCUUCGUUACUGAUACCAGUGGAAUGUGCCGGUCGCGUGGCUGCUUGGCCUUGCUGAGGUUGCAUUUUGUGUGUCCAGUGAUCGCCCUGCUGAUGUCGGUGAAUCGUACGAGGUUAUAUUGAAUCAUGGAUACUGACAUGUCUGGAGCUGUAGAGUGUAAGAAAAAGAAAAGGAAUAGAAAAGGUCCGUUUUCCGGAGGAAAUUCCUGAUAGAGUGUUGGAAGCCUAUCUAUUUCUAUUUUAUUUUCCAUCUUACCCUCGUAUAUUAAUUAUAUCUAUAUAUAUGAAUAAUAAACUAUGUUUAAUAAAUUUUAUUAAAGAAUUUCCAUUUUCA